rnacentral:rRNA from 1 species
GACGAACGCUGGCGGCGUGCCUAACACAUGCAAGUCGAGCGAUGAAGUUUCCUUCGGGAAAUGGAUUAGCGGCGGACGGGUGAGUAACACGUGGGUAACCUGCCUCAUAGAGGGGAAUAGCCUCCCGAAAGGGAGAUUAAUACCGCAUAAUAUUACAGUUUCGCAUGAAACAGUAAUUAAAGGAGCAAUCCGCUAUGAGAUGGACCCGCGGCGCAUUAGCUAGUUGGUGAGGUAACGGCUCACCAAGGCGACGAUGCGUGGCCGACCUGAGAGGGUGAUCGGCCACAUUGGGGCGGAGACGCGGCCCAGACUCCUACGGGAGGCAGAAGUGGGGAAUAUUGCACAAGGGGGGAAACCCUGAUGCAGCAACGCCGCGUGAGUGAUGACGGUCUUCGGAUUGUAAAGCUCUGUCUUUGGGGACGAUAAUGACGGUACCCAAGGAGGAAGCCACGGCUAACUACGUGCCAGCCGCCGCAGUAAAAC